CUAAAUGUCAAAACCACUUCAUAUUAAUAUCACAUGUUACAGUGAGGCAAACCAACAACUUAGCAAUUUCAAAUUUAAAAACUAACAGCAUGUCAUAUAAGCGUAACAAUUCAGUAGUCCCUAGUUACAGUCCAUGUGCAUCUACCAUGUAUAUAUUACAACACAAAUGGCUAAUAUCAACUAUGUCUAAUUAACUAUUAUCUAUUUAGUGACAAACAUCAGAAGACAUCCAAACAUAUAUAAAGCUGGCAAACUCUUUUCAUUUCAACUUCAAUUUCCAUCUAGAUUGAUGGACUCAAGGGAAGAUACCUGAAAUUGAACAGAAAUAAGGAGGAAGGUCAGUAGCAGCAACAGCCAAUCACAAACAGCCCAAAAAAAGUUCAGAAGAGGUCAGAAUCAGGAGAACCAAUCGUAAACCACUUAAAACCACCCAAAUAAACUCAAAAUUGAACUCAGGCAAUCCAGAACACCUUCAGCAACAGAAACAACUAUACAACAACUCAAAUAGACCUCAUCCUGACUCCAAAGACCAAAUCAAGUAGUUUCAUAACUUCAAUUACUAAUUACUGAACUAGAAUGGCAAACUGGCAGCCAACCUCGAAUUUGAAUUGCAAAAUUCCAGUGGAACAGUACUGUUUUUCGUUUUUUUAUUUUUGUUUAAUUUGAAAACUACUGUAGAUCUAGAAAAAUUAGAAUGGCGAGAGCUUUUUGAGCUAAUAAUGUCUGGGAAAAAAAAGCUCUUAGCAAGGCUGUUUUGAUCCUUUUUAUAGGUGAAUUCAGGUCUUUGAAUUACCUCUUAGGUCCCUAUUCAAUUUCACUUUCAAUUCCUAAACUUCCUAACUGAUUUUGCAAGCUAGCACCCUCUUUAUUGAUAUUCCAUUAAGACCCUUUACCUAGAAACUUCUAAGGUGUUCUAUUUUUAACCACUUGCAAGAUUCCCUAUGUGAAUUCCCUAUUCUGCCCUACCCUUUUCACUGAAUUACCCAAUUCAAUCAGUUAAACCCUCAAAACCUUUUAUCCUAUUUGAUCCUAAACCCCCCAAAUUAAGAAAUCAAAAUGAGACUAACUAAACUAAUUGGAGCCAAUUAACCACGUAAUUCAAAAUCAAUUAUUACUAACACAGGUUUAAUUAUCAAAACUCAACCUGGCUUAACAUCAAAUUCAGCUAAAUGAGAAACAGAGGAUUAUUUCUAGAUUAAACCACAGUUGAACAAACCAAUGCUAACUAAUCCAACUUUCAAUCACCAAAACAGAGUAAUCAGCUGUCAUUAAACUAAACUAAAGGAAUCCUAAAUUAUUGAUGAAUUUAACAAAAUCAUAACUAAUUGGAUUUAUAGAAUACCUAUUCAACUAACAGAGGAGGAGGCAUUAGGCAUAGAGAAAUAAAAAGAAGUAUUUCAAUUGAAUGACUAAGACAUACAACUAUCAAGCAAAACUAAUAAAACAAAAAACAAGAAUCGACAACUCAUUGAAAAAAGAAAAACUCCGGCAUGUUCGUCCACUUACGAAUUUGACCUUUCCCGGCGGGUAUUGAGCGUUAAGACUGCUGAAUUCCUCAUCAGUACAGCCCAACGAACAUCC
rnacentral:lncRNA from 1 species